rnacentral:rRNA from 1 species
CCUUGUACUGGGGGACAACAGUUAGAAAUGACUGCUAAUACCGCAUACGAUCCAAUCUCGGCAUCGAGGAUGGAUGAAAGGUGGCCUCUAUUUAUAAGCUAUCACUGAAGGAGGGGAUUGCGUCUGAUUAGCUAGUUGGAGGGGUAACGGCCCACCAAGGCGAUGAUCAGUAGCCGGUCUGAGAGGAUGAACGGCCACAUUGGGACUGAGACACGGCCCAG